rnacentral:tRNA from 3 species
GGGCCCUUAGCUCAGCAGGUAGAGCAACUGACUCUUAAUCAGUAGGUUGCCGGUUCGAUCCCGGCAGGGCUCAUCA